rnacentral:rRNA from 1 species
UACGAAGGGUGCAAGCGUUACUCGGAAUUACUGGGCGUAAAGCGUGCGUAGGUGGUUGUUUAAGUCUGCUGUGAAAGCCCUGGGCUCAACCUGGGAAUUGCAGUGGAUACUGGGCGCCUAGAGUGUGGUAGAGGAUAGUGGAAUUUCCGGUGUAGCAGUGAAAUGCGUAGAGAUCGGAAGGAACAUCUGUGGCGAAGGCGACUAUCUGGGCCAACACUGACACUGAGGCACGAAAGCGUGGGGAGCAAACAGG